rnacentral:piRNA from 1 species
UCAUCCAGUACCGGAGAGAGAGAUGCCAUC